rnacentral:lncRNA from 12 species
UCACUUUCUUUUUUGCUUUUCCCAACAGACAAAAAGUUCUGGAAUACUCAGACCAAAUUAGAUUGGACGAGUUUUGUUAUUCUUGUCAACUCAACAUUCAUAUGCUGCUGCCAAACAAUGUUUCACGGCAGGUGCUAAAUUUGAUUUGGGCCUCUCCUCCCCGACAGAUUUCUAUUAAACGUCGCUGACGUCAAAGCGGACGCCAUCUUUGUCGAGGGCAGAGCAGCUCUCCAUUGAGGAAGAACACACGCGCAUUGCCGUUGCAGCAGCUCAGUCCCUACAAGAAGGGGGUUGAUGGUGCUUCGCUUUUGAAAUUCGCAGACAGACACAUCAUUACUGACGGUCGUCCACCUACUACGGGAUCAGCUUCCCCCAGACUUCCAAUAAGACCCACUCUUCCCAGUUGGAGAUCAGCUCCAUCAAGCACACCCAGCAGCCAUGGCAGAAGAUGCGGAUAUGCGCAAUGAGCUCUCUGACAUGCAGCAAAGUGCAGACCAGCUGGCCGAUGAGGUAAGGUCAUUCGCUUCCUCUCUUUAUGCUACACUUACAUGAACAACAACCUUCAAACUUGAACUGGUUGCAAUCAAAAGACAAAUGUAGUGCCAACUAAGGGACCAUAAUGGAGCUUUGUGACGCAUGGAUGUAUUUUAGAUUAAUUAACCAUGGCUUACUAUGAAUAGUGCAUUUCUAUUUUUUAAAGUUAUUAAUACUUGUAUUAAUUGUUAUUAUAAUAUUAAUACUGAUGAUAAUUUUAAUAUAUUUUAUUAAUUAUUUUAAAUUGUUAUCAUUUAAGAUUAAUAAAUGAACCAUGGCUGAAUCUGAAUAGUGCACUUCUACAACUGAAAACAUUUUUACAUGAUGCUGCAUCAAUGCCACUAUUGACGCCUGUUGACAUAAACAAUAAUGUAAUGUUAACAAUGCAUUAUUUUAUUUGCUAAGUUAUCUGUUUAGUUGAAUGAGACAUUAAAUUAAUUUUGCUCUCAUCCAGGUCAAUGACAUAAGUUAA